UCCAGGGAAUGUGAGAAGUCUCUAGAGUUUUCUAACUGGAGCUUCUCAAUGCAGACAGUUGAAUAUUGCUGGUUCCUGUGUCAACACAUUGGUGAGGAACAUGUGGAUUUUCUCUGCUCUUCAAAGUGAUUUUCAGGCAGCAGAACUCACGAUUGGACUUCUCUGGGCCUAUUUGGGAACCCAGCUAAGGAUGCCACAUUCAGAAAUGGCCUGGUACUCAAGAGAGUGAAGGAACCUAUGUGAAUCUCUGCAACGUAUGACACGUACCUUGUUCUGGAUAGUGAUAAACUCAGAUGCCUCCUUCAGAUGCUGAGUGUUUGACCUGUUUGCAGAGCAGAUUUUUCCCUUUUUGAGCACCUGUCUGCCUUUCUUUAUUUUAUGUCAUGCAGGUGUCUUUGGCCUGAAUGCUCCUCAACACCUGCUACCUUCUUGCUGAUUUUAAUACAUAUCUCAACUGCUACAUGAGGGGAGGACACGCAUUUUGAAUGUUUCUGUCUGUGGUCAUGCUGUGGUAACGAGAUGCUUCCACCUCAAGGCACUCAGUAACAAAUACCAGCAUAAUUAGCCUGAAGACACUUAGAGCUUCCUCCUGUUUAGGCCCUACACAAGGACAGAAAGUAUUUGCCAUCUUCCCUAGAAAUCCAAAAAGAACAUAUGGGAUAUCAGGAAAUGGAUGAAUCAGAACCCUCCAGAGGCAAAGUUCAGUUGGGGAAAAAUUCCAAGAUAUGGAGAGCAGAUAUCAAUGAACAUAAACAAUACUGCUGUGAGAAGAGAGAGCUGGGACUACUCAAGGCUCACAUGAGUUCCUAUAGGAGAGGUUGGCUUCUGUGGCAUCUGUUACGGAGUGAAACUAUGAAUUUCAAACAUCACUUCCAGCAUCUGGGCUUCAUGCAUAUGUGUGCUGAGUGAGAUCCUGGUAACUGAGGCGGUGCAGACCCAUGGAUUGUCCUUUGCUGCAUGUUUAUAGUGUGAACUUCCAGUCCAUCUGCCCAUACAGCCAUCUGCAAAAACACCAGGGACACAGCUGGGAGAAAUAAAAGCUAAGUGCAAGUGAUAAAACCAGUUUUGACUCCAGUGUGCAGAUUUGUACCCCCUGAGCUAGGAAACGUGGAUGUUUGAAAUCCAGCAGCAGUUCCUGCCUCUCUUGUGUUAUGUAGAGAGCAAAGGCACAGUGGGAGAGAGGAAGGAAAAAUACAUUCAGGUACAGGUCAGUGCUUUGCAUUUUGACUUUUUUUGCAGGAAUGCUUGUACUGCGAAAUGCAUUUUUUCACUUAUCCUGUGCUUAAGAAUUAGAGAUGUUUGCUACUAAAAUGCCAGGUUCU